rnacentral:lncRNA from 1 species
GUAUUGUUGGAGUCAGUGGGAUGUUGAUAUCAGGUAGUGUAGGAGACAGUGGGAUGUUGAUGUUGAUAUCAGGUAGUGUAGGAGUCAGUGGGAUACCAUGUUGAUAUCAGGUAGUGUAGGAGUCAGUGGGAUGUUGAUAUCAGGUAGUGUAGGAGUCAGUGGGAUGUUGAUAUCAGGUGAUAUAGGAGUCAGUGGGAUGUUGAUAUCAGGUAGUGUAGGAGUCAGUGGGAUGUUGAUAUCAGGUAGUGUAGGAGGCAGUGAGAUGUUGAUGUCAGGUAGUGUAGGAGUCAGUGGGAUGUUGAUAUCAGGUAGUGUAGGAGUCAGUGAGAUGUUGAUAUCAGGUAGUGUAGGAGUCAGUGAGAU